AAAUCAAGUGUCAACCACUACCGACAGUACUACACCCAUUAAAAAAAUAUGAAUCCAAUUGAAGAAUUUACUGUAACACCUUCAAAAUCUACAUUGACUAAAGAAAGUGGAUCUAAAGUAUCAGUACUAUAGUAAAAUUAAAUACCCAUUUUAGCUUACAUCUUAUCAAUGUGAAAAAACCCAGUUAUAAUACCCAUUAUAGUAGAUCCAUUUUCUUCUAUAGAUCUCAGUUUCAAUUGCCUUCAGCUAAAGAGAAAACUAAAAAAAGGAAAAAAAAAAAAUGGCAAGGCAAUCUGGGACAUGUUUAAGAUGUUGUUUAGUAAUUUUUGCUGUAGUUUCAGCUCUUUGUGUAUCUGGUCCUGCUAUUUAUUGGAAAUUUAAGAAGGGUUUAAGGUUAAAAGCUGCUCAAUCUUGUUUGCCUUGUAAAUGUGAUUGUUCUCCUCCACUUUCACUUCUUGAAGUUGCUCCUGGCUUGGCAAACCUUACAAUUACAGACUGCGGCAAAGAUGAUCCGGAUCUAAAGGAGGAGAUGGAGAAACAGUUUGUGGAUUUAUUAUCGGAAGAGCUGAAGUUGCAGGAAGCUGUCGACAAGGAGCACGUCCAUCAUAUGAACAUCACCUUUGUGGAGGCAAGAAGGUUAGCUUCUGAGUACCAAAAGGAGGCUGAGAAAUGCAUUGCUACAACGAAANCGAAACUUGUGAAGUCGGGCGAGAAAGAGCUGUCGUGUUGCUUGCCAAAGAAAAGAAGUUGACGUCCGUUUGGGAGCGUAGAGCGCGCCAAGCUGGUUGGCAAGGAGAAUAAAGAUUAAAAAAAAAAAAAACUAGUGAAUAAGUUUAUCUUUAACUGCAGUAGCUCAAAUUUUGUUGUCCACUGUUGUAGCUUAUGUUAGUUCUAUCUCUCUAUGAGCACAAAAAUGCUCAUAUUUCUUUAUCUGUAUGUGUAUUUACUUACUCUCCUGUAUCUUUUGAUCAUAUGAAAUAUAUACUCUUUACAUUAUACUUCAGCAUUGAAUCCAGUUAGAACCCUUUAUUGA